rnacentral:rRNA from 1 species
AUUGAACGCUGGCGGCAGGCCUAACACAUGCAAGUCGAGCGAGCGGCGGACGGGUGAGUAAUGUCUGGGAACCUGCCUGAUGGAGGGGGAUAACUACUGGAAACGGUAGCUCAUCCCGCAUACCAUCAGAUGUGCCCAGAUGGGAUUAGCUAGUAGGUGGGGUAACGGCUCACCUAGGCGACGAUCCCUAGCUGGUCUGAGAGGAUGACCAGCCACACUGGAACUUAGAAACGGUCCAGAGUCCUACGGGAGGAAGCAGUGGGGAAUAUUGCACAAUGGGGGCAAGCCUGAUGCAGCCAUGCGGCGUGUGUGAAGAAGGCCUUCGGGUUGUAAAGCACUUUCAGCGGGGAGGCGUUACCCGCAGAAGAAGCACCGGCUAACUCCGUGCCAGCAGCCGCGGUAAUAC